rnacentral:rRNA from 1 species
GGUCAAGUGAAUAAGCGCAUACGGUGGAUGCCUAGGCAGUAGAAGGCGAUGAAGGACGUAGUAGCCUGCGAUAAGCCUCGGGGAGCUGGCAAACAAGCUUUGAUCCGGGGAUUUCCGAAUGGGAAAACCCACCCUUCGGGGUACCGCGCAAGCGGAGCUAACCUGGGGAACUGAAACAUCUAAGUACCCAGAGGAAAAGAAAUCAACCGAGAUUCCCUCAGUAGCGGCGAGCGAACGGGGAAGAGCCGAUCAAUCAGUGCGUAGUGGAAGGGUCUGGAAAGUCCCGCGACACAGGGUGAAAGCCCCGUACACGAAACCAACUGAGUGACAAAUCAAGUAGGGCGGCGCACGUGAAACGCUGUCUGAAGAUGGGGGGACCAUCCUCCAAGGCUAAAUACUCUCUACUGACCGAUAGUGAACCAGUACCGUGAGGGAAAGGCGAAAAGAACCCCUGUGAGGGGAGUGAAAUAGAACCUGAAACCGUAUGCGUACAAGCAGUGGGAGCCCGACCACUCAAUCGUUUUGAGGUAACGGAUGUACUACUUUUAUGUGUUGCGCAAUGUGGAAAACGCGUCCGAAUUUUAUACCGGAUCGACCGGUGAUCUUCGCAGGCGUUUGGCCGAGCACAACCAAGGCAAGCAGGCCGCAACGGGUGGCCGGCAAUGGGAAGUAGUGUAUUACGAAGCCUAUCGAAGCGAACGAGUGGCCAGAGAGCGAGAGCAUAAGAUCAAGCGUAACGGUCGUAUGCGAACGAUCCUCAUGAACCGCAUUACAUCGCAAUUUGAUGAUCCUUGAGUGGUCAGGGCCUGCCCGACCACUCAAUCGAUCGAAGAGCGAUUGAGUGGUCGGGUGACUGCGUACCUUUUGUAUAAUGGGUCAGCGACUUACAUCUCAAUGGCAAGGUUAACCGACUAGGGGAGCCGUAGCGAAAGCGAGUCUUAAUAGGGCGCAUAGUCGUUGGGAGUAGACCCGAAACCGGGCGAUCUACCCAUGGCCAGGUUGAAGGUGGGGUAACACCUACUGGAGGACCGAACCGGGAUCUGUUGAAAAAGAUUCGGAUGAGCUGUGGGUCGGAGUGAAAGGCUAAUCAAGCCCGGAGAUAGCUGGUUCUCCUCGAAAGCUAUUUAGGUAGCGCCUCGUGAAUCACCGCUGGGGGUAGAGCACUGUUUCGGCUAGGGGGUCAUCCCGACUUACCAACCCGAUGCAAACUCCGAAUACCAGCGAGUGCAAUCACGGGAGACACACGGCGGGUGCUAACGUUCGUCGUGGAAAGGGAAACAACCCAGACCGCCAGCUAAGGUCCCAAAAUCAUAUCUCAGUGGGAAACGAUGUGGGAAGGCCCAGACAGCCAGGAGGUUGGCUUAGAAGCAGCCAUCCUUUAAAGAAAGCGUAAUAGCUCACUGGUCGAGUCGGCCUGCGCGGAAGAUUUAACGGGGCUUAAGAUAUGUACCGAAGCUGCGGAUGCAAGCUUGCUUGCAUGGUAGAGGAGCGUUCCGUAAGCCGUUGAAGGUGUGUUGUGAAGCAUGCUGGAGGUAUCGGAAGUGCGAAUGCUGACAUGAGUAACGAUAAAGGGGGUGAAAGGCCCCCUCGCCGAAAGCCCAAGGGUUCCUGCGCAACGUUAAUCGGCGCAGGGUAAGUCGGCCCCUAAGGCGAAGCCGAAAGGCGUAGUCGAUGGGAAACUGGUUAAUAUUCCAGUACCUGUGGGAGAGUGACGGAUUGCGGAAUUCCUGAUCGGGCGUUGGUUGUCUCGAAAAGGAGCUAGCAGUUCCAGGAAAUAGCCCCCACAUACAGACCGUACCCCAAACCGACACAGGUGGGCGGGAUGAGUAUUCCAAGGCGCUUGAGAGAACUCGGGUGAAGGAACUAGGCAAAAUGGUACCGUAACUUCGGGAGAAGGUACGCCCACGCAAGUGGGCCGCAGUGAAAAGGUGGCUGCAACUGUUUAUUAAAAACAUAGCACUCUGCAAACUCGAAAGAGGACGUAUAGGGUGUGACGCCUGCCCGGUGCCGGAAGGUUAAUUGAUGAUGUUAUCUUCGGAGAAGCAUUUGAUCGAAGCCCCGGUAAACGGCGGCCGUAACUAUAACGGUCCUAAGGUAGCGAAAUUCCUUGUCGGGUAAGUUCCGACCUGCACGAAUGGCGUAAUGAUGGCCACACUGUCUCCACCCGAGACUCAGUGAAAUUGAACUUGCUGUGAAGAUGCAGUGUACCCGCGGCUAGACGGAAAGACCCCGUGAACCUUUACUACAGCUUUGCACUGGACUUUGAGCCUACUUGUGUAGGAUAGGUGGGAGGCGCUGAAGCGUGGACGCCAGUCUGCGUGGAGCCGACCUUGAAAUACCACCCUGGUAUGUUUGGAGUUCUAACCCAGGCGCAAGUCGGGGACCGUGCAUGGUGGGUAGUUUGACUGGGGCGGUCUCCUCCCAAAGAGUAACGGAGGAGCACGAAGGUACCCUAAUUCCGGUCGGAAAUCGGAAGAUUAGUGCAAUGGCAUAAGGGUGCUUGACUGCGAGGCAGACACGCCGAGCAGGUGCGAAAGCAGGUCAUAGUGAUCCGGUGGUUCUGAAUGGAAGGGCCAUCGCUCAACGGAUAAAAGGUACUCCGGGGAUAACAGGCUGAUUCCUCCCAAGAGUUCAUAUCGACGGGGGAGUUUGGCACCUCGAUGUCGGCUCAUCACAUCCUGGGGCUGAAGUCGGUCCCAAGGGUAUGGCUGUUCGCCAUUUAAAGUGGUACGCGAGCUGGGUUUAGAACGUCGUGAGACAGUUCGGUCCCUAUCUGCCGUGGGCGUUGGAGAUUUGAGGGGAGCUGCUCCUAGUACGAGAGGACCGGAGUGGACGUACCUCUGGUGUUCCGGUUGUCACGCCAGUGGCAUUGCCGGGUAGCUAAGUACGGAACGGAUAACCGCUGAAAGCAUCUAAGCGGGAAACCGGCCCCAAGAUGAGAUCUCCCUGGGCCCUUGAGGCCCCUGAAGGUCCGUUGAAGACUACGACGUUGAUAGGCGGGAUGUAGAAGCGCGGUAACGUGUGGAGCUAACCCGUACUAAUUGACCGUGAGGCUUGACCAU